rnacentral:rRNA from 1 species
CGGAGGGUCAUUAUAGAGUUUUCUAAACUCCCAACCCAUGUGAACUUACCUUUUGUUGCCUCGGCAGAAGUUAUAGGUCUUCUUAUAGCUGCUGCCGGUGGACCAUUAAACUCUUGUUAUUUUAUGUAAUCUGAGCGUCUUAUUUUAAUAAGUCAAAACUUUCAACAACGGAUCUCUUGGUUCUGGCAUCGAUGAAGAACGCAGCGAAAUGCGAUAAGUAAUGUGAAUUGCAGAAUUCAGUGAAUCAUCGAAUCUUUGAACGCACAUUGCGCCCAUUAGUAUUCUAGUGGGCAUGCCUGUUCGAGCGUCAUUUCAACCCUUAAGCCUAGCUUAGUGUUGGGAAUCUACUUCUCUUAGGAGUUGUAGUUCCUGAAAUACAACGGCGGAUUUGUAGUAUCCUCUGAGCGUAGUAAUUUUUUUCUCGCUUUUGUUAGGUGCUAUAACUCCCAGCCGCUAAACCCCCAAUUUUUUGUGGUUGACCUCGGAUCAGGUAGGAAUACCCGCUGAACUUAAGCAUAUCAAUAAGCGGAGGAAAAGAAACCAACAGGGAUUGCCUUAGUAACGGCGAGUGAAGCGGCAACAGCUCAAAUUUGAAAUCUGGCCCUUGGGUCCGAAUUGUAAUUUGUAGAGGAUGAUUUUGGUGCGGUAUCUUCCGAGUUCCUUGGAACAGGACGCCUUAGAGGGUGAGAGCCCCGUACGGUUGAAUGCCUAGCCUCUGUAAAUCUCCUUCGACGAGUCGAGUAGUUUGGGAAUGCUGCUCUAAAUGGGAGGUAAAUUUCUUCUAAAGCUAAAUAUUGGCCAGAGACCGAUAGCGCACAAGUAGAGUGAUCGAAAGAUGAAAAGCACUUUGAAAAGAGGGUUAAAUAGCACGUGAAAUUGUUGAAAGGGAAGGAUUUGUGACCAGACUUUUUCUGGGCGGAUCAUCCGGGGUUCUCUCCGGUGCACUUCGCCCAGUAAAGGCCAGCAUCGGUUUUCGGCGUGGGAUAAAAGCAGUAGGAAUGUGGCUCUCUACGGGGAGUGUUAUAGCCUAUUGUAUAAUACCGCGCUGGGGACCGAGGUUCGCGCUUCUGCAA